AGUGUUCUCCUCUACCGGCCAUUACUAAUGGAGUCAUAACCUACACUAUCGACAACACACCUAACUAUGAGCUUGACUCUGUGGCUACUUAUGCCUGUGACCCUGGGUUUGUUCUGGACCUCUCCCUAGGGGGAUCUCAGUUGAGAAGUUGUGUGGAUGAUAAUGGACUGGAUGCUAUUGGAGUGUUUGAUAGACAGGCUCCAAUAUGUGUCCGUAUUAUUUGCCAACCUCUUUUCCCUCACCCCUACGGUACGAUAACCUAUCAUCACGAAACUCCACCUUUCUCAUACGGAACACGAGCUACGUACUCUGUCUCAUGCCCUCCCGAACUAGAGAGAAGGGGAGGAGAUGAUGAGAGGACUUGUACCGCUAAUGGAAAUAGUGCUGUGGGGGUGUGGUCUAGAGCUGCUCCCAUCUGUGCAGGUUUGAAAAGUAAACUUUGUGUAUAAUUAUCCUAUAACGUUAUAGAUCAGGGAGUUUUUCUGUCAUUUCAAGGAACAACCUACACUACGAACAACAGUAAUAUUGUACUCACCAGAAUUGAUACAACAAAUGACACAUCCUUCACCUGUCACACUGACUCAACCACCUGCUGUAGAGGUAAGGACAAGGAGCCAUCUUCAAAUAUGGGUACUGGAGAGUGGCUGUUUCCUAAUGGAACAAGUGUUGUCCGGAAGAAGAGAGUACCUGGUGAUGGGUUCUAUUAUACAAGGUUUCAUCAAGCUAUCAGACUGUAUCGUAAUGAUGAUACCCAGACUCCACUGGGAAUCUACUGCUGUAGAAUACCUGACAAUAGUGGAGUGUUGAGGACAUUCUGUGCUAACCUCAUUGACAACACUAUUCGAUGUCCCUCUAACUCGGUGAUGGCUCCAACUAAUGGGAUGGUCUCGUACUCCAGUCCAGUGGAAAAUGGCAGUUAUGUUUUUGGAACUGUGGCCACCUUUUCCUGCUCACCUGGUUUUGGUCUUGAUGGUACCUCAACUAGAACAUGUGAGACUGAACAGAGAACAUUUAAUGGCACAACCCCAUCUUGUAUAGGUGAGAAAAUAUCGUCUCAGUCUGUACUGUGCCAUAUAAUUUACAUAAACAGCAAUUAUCUGCUCUGCUCUGCCCGGUAUUGUGAAUGGGACGAUUAUCUACUUUGGUAACACAACUGAGCCUUAUGAUUAUAGAACAACAGUUAGGUAUCAGUGCCAUAAAGGAUAUGCGGUAAAAAGAGGAGACAGUGAGAGGACCUGUACUAGUACUGAUAAUGGAAGGAGUUCAGAGGGACAAUGGAGUGGAACUGCUGCAGUUUGUUCUGCUCUCUGUGAUGACAUCACCCUCACCAAUGGAAGGGUGACCUAUGACCCAACCUUUUCUCCAAGAUUGGAAGGAACUACGGCUACUCACGCAUGUAAUAGUGGUUAUGUUCGCUUUGGUGGAUCUUCUAGAAUGUGCCAGCCUGAUCGAAUGUGGAGUGGAGAAAUUGUUACUUGCAACGGUAUGAGUAAGUGAUAACCUGUACAUUUUGUACUUUGUUUUUUUAUAGCCAUCAUCUGCCCACCUCUUACUGAAACUUCCUAUGGUCCAAUAUCCUACUCUCCAAACACUUCCCCAUACUUAUUUGGAACACGAGCAACGUACACUGUUACAUGCCCUCUGGGACAGGAGAGGAGAGGAGGAGAUGAUGUGAGGAUUUGUUUGGAUGAUGGACAUAGUACUAUUGGGGUGUGGACUGGUACUGCUCCCGUCUGUGCAGUUCGGAUAUAUCUGUCUUUUCAAGGGGGAAAAUAUGCAACGAACAAUAGUAAUAUUUUAGUGACCAGGAUUGGGACCACAAAUAACACUGACUUGACCUGUCACACUGACUCAACCACCUGCUGUAGGGGUCAGGACAAUUUAAACGGAUUUAACGGUAUUGGGGAGUGGGUUUUUCCUAAUGGGGAAAAGGUUGCACAAAACAACGUCACUUAUGAUGGGUUUUAUUGGAUCAGAUACUAUCAAAGUGUCAGACUCUAUCGUCAAGGUGAUAUCCAGACUCCACUGGGACGUUACUGCUGUAGAAUACCUGAUGGUACUGGAGUGAACAGAACAUUUUGUGUUAACCUCAUUGACAACACCAUUCGAUGUGCUUCUGACUCAGUAAUGGCUCCCAUUAAUGGGAUGGUCUCAUACUCUAGUCCAGUGGAGAAUGGUAGUUACGUUUUUGGAACGAUGGCCACUUUUUUCUGCUUAUCUAGUUUUGGCCUCAGUACUCUUGAGACUAGAACAUGCACAGGAACAAAUGAUGCUGAAAUGGGAACCUUCAGUGGCUUAAGUCCAACAUGUGAUGGU